rnacentral:lncRNA from 1 species
AUAAGCUCCUUCGGGGACAGUGUCUCAUUUCCAAGGGAGACCUGCGCGAGAAGACUCACAAACUGGAUUGUAAAUGCCUUGCAUAGAAAUGACGGAAACUGCACUGCACAGGCCUCAGCGACGCGGGCCCAGUCUGGACGCCACCGGGGCGGUGAACUGAUACUCUGUGGGAGCCCCACGGAUGCUACCACGCAGAAUAAUUUAGGUAUAGAAAGAGGAAGCUGGAAAUCAGACGGACAUGUGGUGACGAACUCAGCAGUCCUCACUGCAGCGAACCUGGCCCCGCGAAGCCCUGUCCUCAUGCCCAGCUGCCUCCUUCCCACAGGCACUGCUGAAGGCCAGUGACUCCCUCACAGCCAUGGCCUGAGGGCUGUGCGGCCUAGCCCUCGCCUUCCCAGGGCCCCUCUCUGACCACCGGGGCCGGAGCCACUCCGCGCCCUCUGCCACACUGCCACACCAUCGUCCGGAGAAGUGCCCCUGCCCUUCCUGCUGUCACAUGCCCUGUGCCUUUGCCGUGCUGUCCCUCAGAAAGCAGCUCUGCUUCCAGCCCCGCCAGGGAGCGAGCCGGGGCAAGACUGACCCACACCACCUGCUCGACAGCAGCAUCAAACCUGCUGCCCAGUGCCCUGCCCCAUGGCUACCCUGGGCGGAAAAUGCUCCAGAGAGGCUACUGGGAGGCCCCCACCCAUCCCAGG